GAGAAAGAACAUAUUGGAAUUAUCUUUGCUUUUGGUCUCUCCAUAAUAAUUACGUACUUAUGUUGAUGAAGAUUGUUGUAUAUUUUAACGUGUUAUGGACUUGUUGCAUUUUGAGCAAAAUCCUUAUUUGAGUUGUACUUUGCUAGCUCUUGCAACAAGUCCAUAACACGUUAAAAUAUACAGCAAAUUAGCACUCUGUGGUACGCAGGUAAAUAACAUUUUUUUUUUUUGAGAAAACAAAA
rnacentral:misc_RNA from 1 species